GGGUAUCAGUGGUGCUAGAAUACACUGAGAAGGGAAAUAGCUGAGCUUGACAAGAGGCCUUGCUUUUCAGAUGGCAGAACAUGCUGAGCUGUGGGUAGAAAGGCCUGUCUGCUGAAUAUUGUCCCUGUUUUUGCUGCUUUGUCUACCAGUAUUUUGUGGAUUUGGUUCUACGCUUGGUUGGCCUAUGUGGCACUGUAGACUGAUUCUAUACCAUGAUACCAUACAGAAUUUAAGGAGAAGUAUUUUCUUGCCAAUGGGCUGCAGUUUUUGUAUCUGGUUCUUCAACUGACUGCUCCCUAUACUAUCUGUAGUAAAAAUAUAGACACCUCAUUUGAUUUACCAGAAAUGAAUUUUCCUAAAUGUCAGCUCUUCUCAUGUCUACGAAGAGCAAAGUUCUGCAUUUGCUAUUAGAAUUUCCUCUUCCAGAAUCAGGAGGUAAUGUAGGACCCCACAGAUUGCCUUCAGAAUUCAACACUUAGUUCUGUUUCCUUUCGGAGUGCAUAACAACCUGAGCACAUGAAUUGAAUGACGUGGCUUUUUAGUCUGGUACAAACUCUGCUGUACACUGAAACUUGGUCCAUUUGUAAGCAGGACUUUGUCCAUCUCUGCAGGACAGCAGAAAACCCUUUGUGCUAAUCAUGAUGCCAAGAAGCAGAAUGCAGCAAAUGGCAGAUGAUCCAACUGCUUCAGCUGGGACACCUUGAUGAAGACUGUGUAACAGAGCUUUCUGUGUUUCACAACAAGAGAAAAGAGAGUAGAUCAGCAUUAACGUCAGAGCCUUUUUGUUAUUUUUUUACCAUGCUGAAAUCCUUAUGAAUCUCUGGAAGUCCAGGCAGA